rnacentral:rRNA from 1 species
GACGAACGCUGGCGGCGUGCCUAAUACAUGCAAGUAGAACGCUGAAGGAGGAGCUUGCUUCUCUGGAUGAGUUGCGAACGGGUGAGUAACGCGUAGGUAACCUGCCUGGUAGCGGGGGAUAACUAUUGGAAACGAUAGCUAAUACCGCAUAAUAGCAGUUGUUGCAUGACAACUGUUUGAAAGGUACAAUUGCACCACUACCAGAUGGACCUGCGUUGUAUUAGCUAGUUGGUGGGGUAACGGCUCACCAAGGCGACGAUACAUAGCCGACCUGAGAGGGUGAUCGGCCACACUGGGACUGAGACACGGCCCAGACUCCUACGGGAGGCAGCAGUAGGGAAUCUUCGGCAAUGGACGGAAGUCUGACCGAGCAACGCCGCGUGAGUGAAGAAGGUUUUCGGAUCGUAAAGCUCUGUUGUAAGAGAAGAACGAGUGUGAGAGUGGAAAGUUCACACUGUGACGGUAUCUUACCAGAAAGGGACGGCUAACUACGU